AUUGAACGCUGGCGGCAUGCUUUACACAUGCAAGUCGAACGGCAGCGCGGGCUUCGGCCUGGCGGCGAGUGGCGAACGGGUGAGUAAUGCAUCGGAACGUGCCCAGUAGUGGGGGAUAGCCCGGCGAAAGCCGGAUUAAUACCGCAUACGACCUGAGGGUGAAAGCGGGGGACCGAAAGGCCUCGCGCUAUUGGAGCGGCCGAUGUCGGAUUAGCUAGUUGGUGGGGUAAAGGCUUACCGAGGCGACGAUCCGUAGCUGGUCUGAGAGGACGACCAGCCACACUGGGACUGAGACACGGCCCAGACUCCUACGGGAGGCAGCAGUGGGGAAUUUUGGACAAUGGGGGCAACCCUGAUCCAGCCAGGCCGCGUGCGGGAAGAAGACCUUCGGGUUGUAAACCGCUUUUGUUCGGGAAGAAAUCCUCUGGGCUAAUACCCCGGGGGGAUGACGGUACCGGAAGAAUAAGCACCGGCUAACUACGU
rnacentral:rRNA from 1 species